GCCAGGCAGUAAGUCACUGUGAGUUACUGCUUAUUUUCUUUUUAAAAGAAAAAGUAAAAGAGGUUCAGAGUACACAGAGGAGGAUUAAAAUGACCGUGUUGAAGAUGGAAAGGUCAAGGCCUCCAUCAUAUAGAAAGGUCCAGAGGUGGUGCUGAUAAUCUAGAUUUGACUCUAUCACUUCUCAUGUCACAACAAUACAAACUUCGAUAACUCACAUCUUGAAGAAAAUACAACCUCUUGUCUGGCUCACCAUAUUGAAAGAAAGGAGAAAGUCCGAUUCUCCCACCAAGAGCUCUUCUUUCUGCUCAUAUCUCAUUUUAGAACCUACGAUGUCAGAAUUCUCCAAAACACUGGAAUAGCUUUCAGUGUCAGAAACUGAACUUCUGCACUUGGUUAUAUUGAAAACAUAAGAUUCUUAAGAUUAAAAAAGAGAAUAGGGUCACAUGAGAGAUGUAUCAUAGCAUGCAAAUGUUAAGUAUGCCAAAAAGUCAACUUAAUUGAAGGGCGUUGCUGGAUGGAAGCAAAUACCAUAGCGAAUCUUGCAAAAGAAGCAUUAUGUUUAUGGUAGAGCUAUGAUUUAUGUCCUAUGAAUAUCCUCAAAGCCCCAGAAUGAGACAAGAAUUCUUCAUUUGUUGCUUUAUAAUUUUCAAAGUUAUGCCAAUGAUCUGACAUUCACAAUCCUGAGAAGUAGGUAAGAACAGUUACUUAUUCCUUUAAUAAAUAUUUGCUGAACUCUUGUACAAUGUGCCAGGUAUAGUGCUAGUUAAAAAUUUCAUAUGUGCAUUUAGCACUUAGUAUAUUCUGGCUAUUAAACAUUUGUGAGUAUGAACUCACUCAGCACUCAUAAUUACCAAAUGCGGUGAAUUGUUCACAUUUUGCAGAAUGAGGGUCCAAACACACUAAAUCAGAUGUUGGAAGUCACACUACCAUCUACUAGUGCCAAGGGUUCUUAAUCAGGGGUCCAUAGAGCCCUAUCAUUGGGUUUCAAAUUUCCCAGGAGAAAAAGCCCAUAGUUUAUA
rnacentral:lncRNA from 1 species